GGCGAGCGCCGACACCCGCCCCUGCCACUACCAGGCGUCACCUGAAGAGACUGGCACCAACACCAGCCAGGACGAGGGCUCAGUAACGGAACUGAGCCAAGAGGAUGAGAGUGGAGUCCCUCAGUGUAACACCUGUGAGAGGGAACGAGAUCAAACAGAUUCCACCAUCAUUGAAUCUGUCGUGGAGGAGCCCACGGAAGAGCCCAAGCCACCGUUCUGCCUGGUAAGCAGUAAAGGAGAUGGUACCAUAGAUUCCUUAUGUUAUUAGCUUCUUCCUAAAUGUUGUGUUCACUUUAACAGAAUUUACCAUUUAAUAUGACUGUUAGCAAACAGCUAACUAUAGCCAAUGAACCCAUACCCAUAUAACUUGUGAUAUAAAUGUUAUUUCCAUCCACAUAUGGAUCUGUGCAUACAAUA